rnacentral:lncRNA from 1 species
AAGCCAAAAAGCAUUUAUAUGGAUAAUGGAAUUGAAAAAUUAUACAAUUAAGUGAAAUGUAUGAAGUGAUGAAAGGCCAAUUUUGUUGGUGCUGUUGUUGUAUAAAUUUCAGAUGCAAAAAUACCCUCAUUGUUUCUUAUUUAAAUUUACAAAUAGUAUAUUACACUAAAUCCUAAAUUUAUCUGUCCUAAAAGCUCACACAUUCAUUCUUUCAUUUAGGAGCUAUGAAUAUCAUGUCAUGUCGUCCUCGUGGGUGCAGGCCAGUAAUCAACGAGACAUGCCUUAGUACAUGCACUAAGGCACCAUCAAAGUGAGGUGAAACGUCCAGCUUGCACUACAACUAGUUUCAGGUUUUAAGUGUGGUUCAACCGAUUUUUAACAACAUUGAGUAAUAAAUCCCAAAGCAUCAUGUUCACUUCAGUAGCUAAUGCAAAGAAACUGAACAAGUUCAUGUCGUCCUCGUGGGUGCAGGCCUAUGAGCAACAAGACAUACCUUCGUAUAUGCACUAAGGCGCCAUCAAAGUGAGGUGAAACGUCCAGCUUGCACUACAACUAGUUUCAGGUUUUAAGUGCGCUUCAACCGAUUUUUAACAACAUUGAGCAAUAAAUCCCAAAGCAUCAUGUUCAUCUCAGUAGCUAAUGCAAAGAAACUGAACAAGUCCCCCCCCCCCCC